ACAACAACAUUCAGACCAUCGGUCUACCGAGCAAUAUCACCCGCUCGGUGGAAGAUCUUCAUUUUCGUCGUAAGCC
rnacentral:pre_miRNA from 1 species